AGCUCAACUUGUGCCAAGACUUAGAACAUGAGAAUAGUGAUCAUCACCCGUAUGAACAGACGCAUACGGACGGAGACUGUCUUGCGAUAAGUAGAUGUGCCUAUCGAGACAUCCCGGGCGGAUGAACAACUAUAGCUAAUGGGAGACAAAGUGGGCCACGCAUGAACGACAGGACCCGAUGAACAGGAAAAGUAUGGUUGUCUUGCUCUUGUCAAGGGAUCGGCCUUGUUUGUUUGCUCUUGGGCACAGGACACUUCGGGAAGCGUUCGCCUCCUAGUCCUCUGAGAGGAUUCCAUGGAUGAAGCUAUAAAUGGAGGCCUCAUUCUUCAUUUGGAGAUCAUCCCUUUCAUUCCUCUCAUUCGCUUCUCUCAUUCAAGAUAGCUUCUUCUCUUGGGACUAGGAGGGUUCCAAGAAGAGAGAGUCUUAAUGGUCUAAGUGGCCUUAUUGAGGCUGACUUGCGAGGUGCAAGUGCCGCACGGGUAGAACAACUCUGAAAGAUUACCCCUUGUCAAGUGGAGAGACAGUCUUCGCCCAUACACAUCUGCUCAUACGGGUGAUAAUAACUAUUCUCAUUUUCUAAGUCUUGGUACAAGUCGAGCUGCUUGCCACAUCGCUCUCGGUCACGAAACCACAUAUCAUGUCCAAGUAAUAUAUCCGACCGUAUAGAAAAACUGGAUUCGGUCUAAAGAGAUGAGAUAACCAUCCCCGGCUUCCUCGGCCAUGUCAUGCCCGCGCCAAGGGCGUGACGCCAAAAAGCCCUGUCACAGUUAUCAUUAUUAUGCUGCUAACCAUGAUUCAAAGAGUAGUACUACACAUCAAGGAAUUAGACUCUUUCAAAUGUGUAGCCUCUUUUCCUACCCAUUGUGGGACCUUAAUGUUUCUUGUUUUUAUCUGCUCCUUCCUUCUUGCGUAUGGAAAACGUUAAGUCCAUCGUUUCCCCCCAUUAAAGUUGCCAUGUGUAGAAUUCUUUGCAGAUAUUUUAAAUGUUUGUUGGCCAAACAUUGUAUUACUUAGAAAUCAACUAGGUGCAGAGUUUUUUUCAUGAAAUAUUCCAUACGUUUUCGUUUCAUGGUGGUUCCCUCUCUAAGAUUGAACGUAUAACUGUUGUAGGUAGAUAAUUAAUGAUAAACAUCACACCUUCAACCCAACAAACUUUACCAUAUUAAUCUCAAAAUUCUCAAGUACAACUAUUAAUUAAAUCUGUUAACAGCUUUGGGUAAUCAUCAACUUCAGCACUUCAACCAUUAAAAUAUAGAAGAAAAUAAUUCCACAGAUAUCAUCCUUAUACAUUAACAGAAAC